rnacentral:rRNA from 1 species
UACGAAGGGGGCUAGCGUUGCUCGGAAUGACUGGGCGUAAAGGGCGCGUAGGCGGCCUUAUAUGUCAGGCGUGAAAGUCCGGGGCUCAACUCGGGAAUGGCGCUUGAGACGGUAGGGCUUGAGUGGAGAAGAGGGUCGUGGAAUUCCCAGUGUAGAGGUGAAAUUCGUAGAUAUUGGGAAGAACACCGGUGGCGAAGGCGGCGACCUGGUCCUUGACUGACGCUGAGGCGCGAGAGCGUGGGGAGCAAACAGG